AUCGCAAAUUUAAAAAAAUAAUAAAAAAUUGAUGUAUCGUCUUUUAAAAAUGGACGAUAUAGUUUAUAUUUGUAUCGAUAAGCUACGAUUAACGCAUAUUAUGAGUCGACAACUUAGUGUUGCGCUUAAUAAAUACUGUAUAAAAAUUAAUGGAUUCUCCUGUGGACAAUGGAAUGCUUAGGUAAGUAUUGGCAACACUUAUUCCACUCGGUUAAUAUCGUUCUACACGUCUACUACUAUAUUUUUCCAGUAGAGAAAUCGACUUCCGGCUGUAACUGUAAUUAUACGGUAUUACUAUUGUUUCCUGAAGGAUGUUUUCAUUGUUAGUCGAUAAAAAUAAACAACUGUCACGGAUUGGUUCGUGAAUCACGCGCGUGCCUAAAGGAAAAAUGUUGGCUCGAUUGUUUUUCCUUUCGAUUACGCCAUUCAACUCCAUUAAAAUCAUAGCAUUAUAUGCAAUUUUUAGGCCUAAAUUAAAAAAAAAAAGAAUUUCCAUUCGAAAUCUGUUUUACUGUCGAUAUUUAAGAUGUGAUAUAGGUAGAUAGGUGAAGUUAAAAGUCACGACCUUUAGCCUGUCUCGUGAAUUCCAUCGUAUCAUUCAAAAGGCUCAAAGUUGACAUCUCGAACGACUCUCCAUUCUGUAGACAGACUAUGACACCGUCACCCUAUCCCCUCCGUCAUUGUCUCCAUAAACAUGUCUAUAGUUAAUAGGAUGACCCAUCUCCCCUUCACACAUCAUCAAACUCGGACGAUACCAUUUGGUCGCUCGUAUUUGGUCUAUCUUUUUCAGGAGAGGGGUGAGAAUAGUUUGGAAAGUAAAGUGCCGAGGGAGACUGGAAGACAAAUACCAUUGACAAACUUAUACUCUACAGCUGGGCUGUUAUAGGAAACCACCCGUGCUCUUACUCACUACACGUUUAAUCAGUCGAUAUAAAUGCAUCGUGCGACUGAGCUGGUGGAAAGCUGAGGCUGUGUCGAUGAUUUAUAUAGAGGGUUCGCCAGGACAGCAGCCACCUAGGAACAAUGGCCGACUUGCCAUAUUUCUGGGACACUGGUGCCCCGUGUCGAGAUUUAUUUAGGCUUGGCUGGGUAAUUUUCCCAGGAAAUGUGUCCGUCAUAAACAACAUGGAAUGGCUAGCCAAUGGCAUGACUGUCACUCCGAUGCCUCGACUUCCGACCGGAGUCUUAAAAGCUUUGGCGACACCCCCAAAGGGAAACGUGAGAUGCUUGGACGGAUUUCUUUUGUAUUCAGAUCGGCGGACCACGUGAUGAACUGGAGAAAACGCCGACUUCCUCUUCCGGUGACGUAAAACAAGCACCAACUUUAAAAAAAAAGAAACUUAUUGAUGCCAAUAUACCUUUUGCGAAACGUAAGUUUAGCAUUUAAACGUAUUAACUUGAUAAUAACUCGUUGUAAACUAAUUGUAAUAUUUCUUGCGAAAUUUUUAAACAAUUUACUGCAUAAAGUAGCCAUUUAAACUUAUUUAAUUGCUGAUUAAAUGCGUGUUUUCGGUCACAAACCGCGAUCUCUUUUCGUCUUCUAAACUUAAACAAAAGUUAUAAAAAGAAAUUAAUUUUAAAGCUCUUAUCUCUAUUAAUUUCUUUUGAAAAUAUCAAAAUUAAGCUACUUCUCAUCGCAG
rnacentral:lncRNA from 1 species